rnacentral:rRNA from 1 species
GACAGAGGGUGCGAACGUUGCUCGGAAUUACUGGGCGUAAAGCGUGCGCAGGCGGUUCGCUGUGUCCUGUGUGAAAGCCCCGGGCUUAACCCGGGAAUGGCAUGGGAAACUGGCGGGCUGGAGUGUGGCAGAGGGGUGGAAUUCCGCGUGUAGCAGUGAAAUGCGUAGAGAUGCGGAGGAACACCGAUGGCGAAGGCAGCCCUGGGCUAACACUGACGCUCAGGCACGAAAGCGUGGGAGCAAACAGG